AUUAUGGAAAAGUGAAAACUAUAACAAGAUCCUUUACAUCUCACAUGGAAAUCAAAUGUAUCCACAUGAUAAAUACCAGGCAAGGUAUUUAUAUUUACGUAUGCCAAUUACUACCAUAUGUCAAAAACUACAUGAAUCACUAGGGAUGUGAAUAAAACUCCACCCUGCCAUAAAGGUCUCACAAGUCAGUAAGGAGCCAGUCCCUCAUAACCCAGAUACAACUAACCUGCCAGCUCCCAGCACGACCAUUGCACUUACAGCAGGAAGUCCAGUACCCUUCCCAAGAAGGUGACAGCUUGUGGACUACAAGGAGAGAACACUCCUGCAAGGCUGGUAUUAUUACUCCAUUAUAUACUAUAAAAUACUCUCAAAAGAUUCAAAAAGGUCUGUCUGGCUCUUCACCUCACUACAGAUUUUCAUAAAGCCUACCAGCUCUUACCUAAGCUUUGCAGGGGGCCCAGGAAAGACCUUAGCCACUUGGAUAUCAACCACUACCCACCUGGAUACUCUCUGUGAUGAAAAGCAGAUCAAGGGGGAUUGGAAACUAUGGAACUACCCACAGCUUGCAACAGAAAAGGUCAACUGUAGCAUUCUCACCAUCUCUGAGGUUUUUAUAGGGAGACAUAAGCAUCAGCAGACACCUCAUGGACCCUUUGGAGCCACCAGAAAUGAAGCUGAUAAAUGUAAACAUCUGCCCAAAGCAAACUGAUAUUCCAAUGAAUAGUUUCAGACCCAAGGAAAGACCCAAGUGCUUCUUCAAACACUUGCAGGUUGACUGCAGCGUUUAGAGAGAUGAAGGAAAGAUCAGAGGAGAUGCUAUGAAAGAUCACAUGACCUGCUGCUAUUUCUCAGUGUUUUCCCAAUAUAAUUUUGUUAGAAACUAUUAUUAACCACAAAGGCAGCAAUCAUUAAACUGCACUGUCUGUGCCACUCACUUUACACCUAGAUAUCCCCUUCCCUCAAUGUCCUAUGAGUCCAUCUAUACUGUGCCUAUCAAAUAACUUCUUGGAAAGGAUUGCUGAAAAUCAAAAUUCAGAAAAGGGUAUAAGUGUUCAUAUACAGAGAAAAGCAACUCCACAGGCCCUUAACCAAUAAUCUUCUGAAGCCCAAACAAAACAAGCUAUAACUUCUUCUAUUCACAUUUUUCUACUUGCCUUGUCCACAGACCAAAUAGCCAUAGAAAGAACCAAGCUGCUCCAUUUCUAUAAUUCACUUUUUCUUAGCAAAAGUCUGGGAACAGAAGGCAAAAGAAAGGGGAGCAGCUGCCACCUGAUCUUUUUAUUAAUGCCCUCAGCUCAUUCCCCAUUCUCCGCUUCAUUGUUUCAGGUCCUUUUCUCAGCAACCUAAGUCCCAGCUCACAAGAAGAAAAAAUUAGCCUUCUGUGUGUCAAUACCCACAGUUAUUAAAAAAAAAAAA